rnacentral:misc_RNA from 1 species
UAUUUCUAUCUCUAUAACCAUUUUCAUUCCCUUUCAUUCAUAACAUAUGGCUUAUAUUAUGCAUGUGUUUACAUCCUUUAAUAAAUGCCAUGUACUUGACUUUUCAUUACCCUAGUACGUGAAUCUAACUUAUCAUAUCUUCAUUAUUAAUUAUAAUAAUUAUUUUGAACAAUUUUCCAUUUCCUGACAAAUUAAUUGACAAAAGCGCAG